rnacentral:sRNA from 1 species
GCCGGGCAUAGUGGCAUAUGCCUGUAAUCCCAGCUACUUGGGAGGCUGAGGCAUGAGAAUCACUUGAACCCAGGAGGCAGAGGGUGCAGUGAGUCAAGAUCAUUGCACUCCAGCCUGGGUGACACAGCGAGAUUCUGUCUCAA